CGGUAAAGAGAUUUGGGUAUUGUUUUCUCAUGGCUUCCUCCGGUUCCCACGUAGCUUCUUCUACUCCAUGUCUUUGCCAUAACACUUUCACUAAAGCUAUACUUUUCUUUCUCAACUGUUUUACUUCUCGAGCCAAGAUCUUAAUCGGUUCCUCAUCAUAGGUCAAGUCCGAUCGAAUCUCAAUUUCUGUUGAAGAAAUCAUAUGUGAAGGAUCAGAACGAUAACGUCACAACAUUGAUACAUGAAACACGUUAUGAAUUCUUUCUAACUCUGUCGGUAAGGCCAACCGAUAUGCC
rnacentral:lncRNA from 1 species